UAACUUUGUUAUAAUAACUUGACCAUUUGUAUACCUAAUCUGAUCCCUGUGGAGACGAUCUCAGUUAUCACUUUAUUAAUUGAUUCGAUGUUUACAUUUGCACAAAUCGCAUAUCAAUUAACACGCGACAAAGGACAUAUGAAAGACUGGAUAGGGCAGUUGGUAAUGAUGCUUGGUUGAGAAAUUUUCUAUAUUGUUCCA
rnacentral:lncRNA from 1 species